GACAGAGAUGGAGAGACUGGAUGGUGGUUCUGGGCGCGAGAGUGAGCACACGCGCUUAUGCGCGUGUGCGGCGUUCUUUGUCUGUGUGUGCGAUAGUCUGAUGA